rnacentral:rRNA from 1 species
ACGGCUCAGUAACACGUGGAUAACCUGCCCUUGGGUCCGGCAUAACCCCGGGAAACUGGGGAUAAUUCCGGAUAACGCAUAUGUGCUGGAAUGCUUUAUGCGUCAAAUGGAUUCGUCCGCCCAAGGAUGGGUCUGCGGCCUAUCAGGUAGUAGUGGGUGUAAUGUACCUACUAGCCAGCGACGGGUACGGGUUGUGAGAGCAAGAGCCCGGAGAUGGAUUCUGAGACAUGAAUCCAGGCCCUACGGGGCGCAGCAGGCGCGAAAACUUUACAAUGCGGGAAACCGUGAUAAGGGGACACCGAGUGUCAGCAUCAUAUGCUGGCUGUCCAGGUGUGUAAAAUACACCUGUUAGCAAGGGCCGGGCAAGACCGGUGCCAGCCGCCGCGGUAACACCGGCGGCCCGAGUGGUGAUCGUGAUUAUUGGGUCUAAAGGGUCCGUAGCCGGUUUGGUCAGUCCUCCGGGAAAUCUGAUAGCUCAACUAUUAGGCUAUCGGGGGAUACUACCAGGCUUGGAACCGGGAGAGGUAAGAGGUACUACAGGGGUAGGAGUGAAAUCUUGUAAUCCCUGUGGGACCACCUGUGGCGAAGGCGUCUUACCAGAACGGGUUCGACGGUGAGGGACGAAAGCUGGGGGCACGAACCGGAUUAGAUACCCGGGUAGUCCCAGCCGUAAACGAUGCUCGCUAGGUGUCAGGCAUGGCGCGACCGUGUCUGGUGCCGCAGGGAAGCCGUGAAGCGAGCCACCUGGGAAGUACGGCCGCAAGGCUGAAACUUAAAGGAAUUGGCGGGGGAGCAC